UCAGAAGCCAGUAAGUUUGACGCCAGUCUUACCAAGAGGUAUUGGGUUGCCCGGGUAACUGGGUUGAGGGGGUCAGAUAGGCAGUCGCUUCUUGUAAAGCACUGGUACUCAGCUGCAUCCGGUUAGACUGGAAGCCGACCCCAACAUAGUUUGGAAAAAGGCUCAGAGGAUGAUGACA
rnacentral:lncRNA from 1 species